rnacentral:ncRNA from 1 species
AGAAGCCGUAUGAGGUGCAAAUCUCAUGUACGGUUUUGUAGAGAGGUAAAUAUUAGGUAAGAGAGAUAAUUGUAAUGGUACUGCUAU